rnacentral:rRNA from 1 species
AUAUUGUGAGCUCGAUGAGUAGGGCGGGACACGUGGUAUCCUGUCUGAAUAUGGGGGGACCAUCCUCCAAGGCUAAAUACUCCUGACUGACCGAUAGUGAACCAGUACCGUGAGGGAAAGGCGAAAAGAACCCCGGCGAGGGGAGUGAAAAAGAACCUGAAACCGUGUACGUACAAGCAGUGGGAGCCUCUUAAUGGGGUGACUGCGUACCUUUUGUAUAAUGGGUCAGCGACUUAUAUUCUGUAGCAAGGUUAACCGAAUAGGGGAGCCGAAGGGAAACCGAGUCUUAACUGGGCGUUAAGUUGCAGGGUAUAGACCCGAAACCCGGUGAUCUAGCCAUGGGCAGGUUGAAGGUUGGGUAACACUAACUGGAGGACCGAACCGACUAAUGUUGAAAAAUUAGCGGAUGACUUGUGGCUGGGGGUGAAAGGCCAAUCAAACCGGGAGAUAGCUGGUUCUCCCCGAAAGCUAUUUAGGUAGCGCCUCGUGAAUUCAUCUCCGGGGGUAGAGCACUGUUUCGGCAAGGGGGUCAUCCCGACUUACCAACCCGAUGCAAACUGCGAAUACCGGAGAAUGUUAUCACGGGAGACACACGGCGGGUGCUAACGUCCGUCGUGAAGAGGGAAACAACCCAGACCGCCAGCUAAGGUCCCAAAGUCAUGGUUAAGUGGGAAACGAUGUGGGAAGGCCCAGACAGCCAGGAUGUUGGCUUAGAAGCAGCCAUCAUUUAAAGAAAGCGUAAUAGCUCACUGGUCGAGUCGGCCUGCGCGGAAGAUGUAACGGGGCUAAACCAUGCACCGAAGCUGCGGCAGCGACACUAUGUGUUGUUGGGUAGGGGAGCGUUCUGUAAGCCUGUGAAGGUGGCCUGUGAGGGUUGCUGGAGGUAUCAGAAGUGCGAAUGCUGACAUAAGUAACGAUAAAGCGGGUGAAAAGCCCGCUCGCCGGAAGACCAAGGGUUCCUGUCCAACGUUAAUCGGGGCAGGGUGAGUCGACCCCUAAGGCGAGGCCGAAAGGCGUAGUCGAUGGGAAACAGGUUAAUAUUCCUGUACUUGGUGUUACUGCGAAGGGGGGACGGAGAAGGCUAUGUUGGCCGGGCGACGGUUGUCCCGGUUUAAGCGUGUAGGCUGGUUUUCCAGGCAAAUCCGGAAAACCAAGGCUGAGGCGUGAUGACGAGGCACUACGGUGCUGAAGCGACAAAUGCCCUGCUUCCAGGAAAAGCCUCUAAGCAUCAGGUAACAUCAAAUCGUACCCCAAACCGACACAGGUGGUCAGGUAGAGAAUACCAAGGCGCUUGAGAGAACUCGGGUGAAGGAACUAGGCAAAAUGGUGCCGUAACUUCGGGAGAAGGCACGCUGAUAUGUAGGUGAAGCGACUUGCUCGUGGAGCUGAAAUCAGUCGAAGAUACCAGCUGGCUGCAACUGUUUAUUAAAAACACAGCACUGUGCAAACACGAAAGUGGACGUAUACGGUGUGACGCCUGCCCGGUGCCGGAAGGUUAAUUGAUGGGGUUAGCGGCAACGCGAAGCUCUUGAUCGAAGCCCCGGUAAACGGCGGCCGUAACUAUAACGGUCCUAAGGUAGCGAAAUUCCUUGUCGGGUAAGUUCCGACCUGCACGAAUGGCGUAAUGAUGGCCAGGCUGUCUCCACCCGAGACUCAGUGAAAUUGAACUCGCUGUGAAGAUGCAGUGUACCCGCGGCAAGACGGAAAGACCCCGUGAACCUUUACUAUAGCUUGACACUGAACAUUGAGCCUUGAUGUGUAGGAUAGGUGGGAGGCUUUGAAGUGUGGACGCCAGUCUGCAUGGAGCCGACCUUGAAAUACCACCCUUUAAUGUUUGAUGUUCUAACGUUGGCCCGUAAUCCGGGUUGCGGACAGUGUCUGGUGGGUAGUUUGACUGGGGCGGUCUCCUCCUAAAGAGUAACGGAGGAGCACGAAGGUUGGCUAAUCCUGGUCGGACAUCAGGAGGUUAGUGCAAUGGCAUAAGCCAGCUUGACUGCGAGCGUGACGGCGCGAGCAGGUGCGAAAGCAGGUCAUAGUGAUCCGGUGGUUCUGAAUGGAAGGGCCAUCGCUCAACGGAUAAAAGGUACUCCGGGGAUAACAGGCUGAUACCGCCCAAGAGUUCAUAUCGACGGCGGUGUUUGGCACCUCGAUGUCGGCUCAUCACAUCCUGGGGCUGAAGUAGGUCCCAAGGGUAUGGCUGUUCGCCAUUUAAAGUGGUACGCGAGCUGGGUUUAGAACGUCGUGAGACAGUUCGGUCCCUAUCUGCCGUGGGCGCUGGAGAACUGAGGGGGGCUGCUCCUAGUACGAGAGGACCGGAGUGGACGCAUCACUGGUGUUCGGGUUGUCAUGCCAAUGGCACUGCCCGGUAGCUAAAUGCGGAAGAGAUAAGUGCUGAAAGCAUCUAAGCACGAAACUUGCCCCGAGAUGAGUUCUCCCUGAGACUUAGAGUCUCCUGAAGGAACGUUGAAGACGACGACGUUGAUAGGCCGGGUGUGUAAGCGCAGCGAUGCGUUGAGCUAACCGGUACUAAUGAACCGUGAGGCUUAACCUUACAACGCCGAAG